UACGUAGGGUGCAAGCGUUAAUCGGAAUUACUGGGCGUAAAGCGUGCGCAGGCGGCUUUGCAAGACAGAUGUGAAAUCCCCGGGCUUAACCUGGGAACUGCAUUUGUGACUGCAUGGCUGGAGUGCGGCAGAGGGGGAUGGAAUUCCGCGUGUAGCAGUGAAAUGCGUAGAUAUGCGGAGGAACACCGAUGGCGAAGGCAGCCCCCUGGGUCAAAACUGACGCUCAUGCACGAAAGCGUGGGGAGCAAACAGG
rnacentral:rRNA from 1 species